UACGAAGGGGGCUAGCGUUGCUCGGAAUCACUGGGCGUAAAGCGCAUGUAGGCGGACUCUUAAGUCGGUGGUGAAAUCCUGGAGCUCAACUCCAGAACUGCCUUCGAUACUGAGAGUCUCGAGUCCGAGAGAGGUGAGUGGAACUGCGAGUGUAGAGGUGAAAUUCGUAGAUAUUCGCAAGAACACCAGUGGCGAAGGCGGCUCACUGGCUCGGUACUGACGCUGAGGUGCGAAAGCGUGGGGAGCAAACAGG
rnacentral:rRNA from 1 species